GUUUGAUCCUGGCUCAGGAUGAACGCUGGCGGCGUGCUUAACACAUGCAAGUCGAACGAAGCACUUUAUUUGAUUUCCUUCGGGACUGAUUAUUUUGUGACUGAGAGGCGGACGGGUGAGUAACGCGCGGGGUAACCCGCCUUGUACAGGGGGAUAACAGUUGGAAAACGGCUGCUAAUACCGCCAUAAGCGCACGGCAUCGCAUGAUGCAGUGUGAAAAACUCCGGUGGUAUAAGAUGGACCCGCGUUGGAUUAGCUAGUUGGUGAGGUAACGGCCCACCAAGGCGACGAUCCAUAGCCGACCUGAGAGGGUGACCGGCCACAUUGGGACUGAGACACGGCCCAAACUCCUACGGGAGGCAGCAGUGGGGAAUAUUGCACAAUGGGCGAAAGCCUGAUGCAGCGACGCCGCGUGAGCGAAGAAGUAUUUCGGUAUGUAAAGCUCUAUCAGCAGGGAAGAUAAUGACGGUACCUGACUAAGAAGCACCGGCUAAAUACGUGCCAGCAGCCGCGGUAAUACGUAUGGUGCAAGCGUUAUCCGGAUUUACUGGGUGUAAAGGGAGCGCAGGCGGUGCGGCAAGUCUGAUGUGAAAGCCCGGGGCUCAACCCCGGUACUGCAUUGGAAACUGUCGUACUAGAGUGUCGGAGGGGUAAGCGGAAUUCCUAGUGUAGCGGUGAAAUGCGUAGAUAUUAGGAGGAACACCAGUGGCGAAGGCGGCUUACUGGACGAUAACUGACGCUGAGGCUCGAAAGCGUGGGGAGCAAACAGGAUUAGAUACCCUGGUAGUCCACGCCGUAAACGAUGA
rnacentral:rRNA from 1 species